CCUACGGGUGGCAGCAGUGAGGAAUAUUGGUCAAUGGACGAGAGUCUGAACCAGCCAAGUAGCGUGAAGGAUGACUGCCCUAUGGGUUGUAAACUUCUUUUAUAUGGGAAUAAAAUGUUCCACGUGUGGGAUUUUGUAUGUACCAUAUGAAUAAGGAUCGGCUAACUCCGUGCCAGCAGCCGCGGUAAUACGGAGGAUCCGAGCGUUAUCCGGAUUUAUUGGGUUUAAAGGGAGCGUAGGUGGAUUGUUAAGUCAGUUGUGAAAGUUUGCGGCUCAACCGUAAAAUUGCAGUUGAAACUGGCAGUCUUGAGUACAGUAGAGGUGGGCGGAAUUCGUGGUGUAGCGGUGAAAUGCUUAGACAUCACGAAGAACUCCGAUUGCGAAGGCAGUUCACUGGACUGCAACUGACACUGAGGCUCGAAAGUGUGGGUAUCAAACAGGAGUAGAUACCCGAGUAGUC
rnacentral:rRNA from 1 species